CAUACCAGUCGAACGAGUUCUGAUUAUUGAAAGGAGCAUGCAUCUAGAUUUAACUACCAACGAGUGGCGGACGGGUGAGUAACACGUGGGUAACCUGCCCUUAAGUGGGGGAAAACAUUUGGAAACAGAUGCUAAUACCGCAUAAAUCCAAGAACCGCAUGGUUCUUGGCUGAAAGAUGGCGUAAGCUAUCGCUUUUGGAUGGACCCGCGGCGUAUUAGCUAGUUGGUGAGGUAACGGCUCACCAAGGCAAUGAUACGUAGCCGAACUGAGAGGUUGAUCGGCCACAUUGGGACUGAGACACGGCCCAAACUCCUACGGGAGGCAGCAGUAGGGAAUCUUCCACAAUGGACGCAAGUCUGAUGGAGCAACGCCGCGUGAGUGAAGAAGGCUUUCGGGUCGUAAAACUCUGUUGUUGGAGAAGAAUGGUCGGCAGAGUAACUGUUGUCGGCGUGACGGUAUCCAACCAGAAAGCCACGGCUAACUACGUGCCAGCAGCCGCGGUAAUACGUAGGUGGCAAGCGUUAUCCGGAUUUAUUGGGCGUAAAGCGAGCGCAGGCGGUUUUUUAAGUCUGAUGUGAAAGCCCUCGGCUUAACCGAGGAAGUGCAUCGGAAACUGGGAAACUUGAGUGCAGAAGAGGACAGUGGAACUCCAUGUGUAGCGGUGAAAUGCGUAGAUAUAUGGAAGAACACCAGUGGCGAAGGCGGCUGUCUGGUCUGUAACUGACGCUGAGGCUCGAAAGCAUGGGUAGCGAACAGGAUUAGAUACCCUGGUAGUCCAUGCCGUAAACGAUGAAUGCUAGGUGUUGGAGGGUUUCCGCCCUUCAGUGCCGCAGCUAACGCAUUAAGCAUUCCGCCUGGGGAGUACGACCGCAAGGUUGAAACUCAAAGGAAUUGACGGGGGCCCGCACAAGCGGUGGAGCAUGUGGUUUAAUUCGAAGCAACGCGAAGAACCUUACCAGGUCUUGACAUCUUUUGAUCACCUGAGAGAUCAGGUUUCCCCUUCGGGGGCAAAAUGACAGGUGGUGCAUGGUUGUCGUCAGCUCGUGUCGUGAGAUGUUGGGUUAAGUCCCGCAACGAGCGCAACCCUUAUGACUAGUUGCCAGCAUUUAGUUGGGCACUCUAGUAAGACUGCCGGUGACAAACCGGAGGAAGGUGGGGAUGACGUCAAAUCAUCAUGCCCCUUAUGACCUGGGCUACACACGUGCUACAAUGGAUGGUACAACGAGUUGCGAGACCGCGAGGUCAAGCUAAUCUCUUAAAGCCAUUCUCAGUUCGGACUGUAGGCUGCAACUCGCCUACACGAAGUCGGAAUCGCUAGUAAUCGCGGAUCAGCACGCCGCGGUGAAUACGUUCCCGGGCCUUGUACACACCGCCCGUCACACCAUGAGAGUUUGUAACACCCGAAGCCGGUGGCGUAACCCUUUUAGGGAGCGAGCCGU
rnacentral:rRNA from 2 species